GAUGAACGCUGACAGAAUGCUUAACACAUGCAAGUCUUUGGCGAAGCUGUGCUUGCACAGCCUAGCCAAGGCGGACGGGUGAGUAACGCGUAAGGAACUUGCCCUGCAGUCAGGGAUAACAGACGGAAACGACUGAUAAGACCUGGUAAAGUCAGGCGGACUCAUGUCCAGCCUGAUGAAAAGAGAUGCUGCAGGAGAGCCUUGCGUCCUAUUAGCUUGUUGGUGGGGUAACGGCCCACCAAGGCGAUGAUAGGUAGCCGGCCUGAGAGGGUGGACGGCCACAAGGGGACGGAGAUACGGCCCUUACUCCUACGGGAGGCAGCAGUGGGGAAUAUUGGACAAUGGGGGCAAGCCUGAUCCAGCAAUUCUGUGUGCACGAUGAAGGUUUUCGGAUUGUAAAGUGCUUUCAGCAGGGAAGAAAAAAUGACGGUACCUGCAGAAGAAGCGACGGCUAAAUACGUG
rnacentral:rRNA from 1 species